CCUACGGGAGGCAGCAGUCGGGAAUAUUGCGCAAUGGAGGAAACUCUGACGCAGUGACGCCGCGUGCAGGAAGAAGGUUUUCGGAUUGUAAACUGCUUUAGACAGGGAAGAAAAAAGACAGUACCUGUAGAAUAAGCUCCGGCUAACUACGUGCCAGCCGCCGCGGUAAUACGGAGGGAGCAAGCGUUAUCCGGAUUGAUUGGGUUUAAGGGGUGGGUAGGCGGACAGUCAAGUCAGCGGGAAAAAUGCGGUGCUCAACGCCGUACAGCCGUUGAAACUGGCAUGCUGGAGUAGGCGAGAAGUAUGCGGAAUGCGUGGUGGAGCGGUGAAAUGCAUAGAUAUCACGCAGAACUCCGAUUGCGAAGGCAGCAUACCGGAGCCCUACUGACGCUGAGGCACGAAAGCGUGGGUAUCGAACAGGAUUAGAUACCCUGGUAGUC
rnacentral:rRNA from 1 species